rnacentral:rRNA from 1 species
GGAGCCUGAGAAACGGCUACCACAUCCAAGGAUGGCAGCAGGCGCGCAAAUUACCCAAUCCCGACACGGGGAGGUAGUGACAAUAAAUAACAAUACGGGGUUCUUUAGGAUCUCGUAAUUGGAAUGAGUACAAUUUAAAUCUCUUAACGAGGAACAAUUGGAGGGCAAGUCUGGUGCCAGCAGCCGCGGUAAUUCCAGCUCCAAUAGCGUAUAUUAAAGUUGUUGCAGUUAAAAAGCUCGUAGUUGAAUUUCGGGGUUAGUAGGUUGGUCAUGCCUCUGGUAUGUACUGGUCUCACUGAUUCCUCCUUCCUUAUGAACCGUAAUGCCAUUAAUUUGGUGUUGCGGGGAAUUUGGACUGUUACUUUGAAAAAAUUAGAGUGUUUAAAGCAAGCUAACGCUUGAAUACAUUAGCAUGGAAUAAUGAAUUAGGACGUUCGAUCUUAUUUUGUUGGUUUCUAGGAUUGACGUAAUGAUUAAUAGGGAUAGUUGGGGGCAUUAGUAUUCAAUUGUCAGAGGUGAAAUUCUUGGAUUUAUUGAAGACUAACUACUGCGAAAGCAUUUGCCAAGGAUGUUUUCAUUAAUCAAGAACGAAAGUUAGGGGAUCGAAGACGAUCAGAUACCGUCGUAGUCUUAACCAUAAACUAUGCCGACUAGGGAUCGGAUGAUGUUAAUUUUUUAAUGACUCAUUCGGCGCCUUACGGGAAAC